GCGCUGUUACUGCCAGUUGGAGCCAGGCCCCGCCCCUUACGCCGCUUCUCGGUCUGAAUCCCACCCCUUCCUGUGACCUGGCGUCCUACAAUUGAUGUUGCUUCUUCCGGAACUCAGCUUUGGUCAGACCAGCUGGGCUUCUUCCGGUUUCUCUGCAGGUCAGAGGCUGUUGGCGGCUUGGUGCGUCUUCUGUUUCACUUUCAUCUUUGCCUCUAGUCCCAGGUAGCUUGAGGAAGGAGAUGCACCCCUCACCGGGUCUUCCAUGGCGCUCCUCGGUUCCUCCAUCUCCGACUCAUCUGACACCGUGAGCCCUGAAAGCACAUACAUAUACGCAGGCAUACUGAGCUGAGGACCAAACCCAGGGCCUUGUGCUUGCUAGGCAAGCGCUCUACCACUGAGCUAAAUCCCCAACCCUGCCUGUUUGACCUUCAGUGAUGGAGUCUGGUGAGUCACUCGCCAGACCACAGUGAAGACUGGCCCUGUGUGCCCAGUGUAAAACGGUGCGCAGUGAGUGAUGAAAAAAAAGAAAGACUCUGCAAGGAGACAUUGUGGUGGGU